rnacentral:rRNA from 1 species
CCUAUGGAGGGCAGCAGUGAGGAAUAUUGGUCAAUGGGCGGAAGCCUGAACCAGCCAAGUAGCGUGCAGGAUGACGGCCCUACGGGUUGUAAACUGCUUUUAAACGGGAAUAACGCGCCUUACGUGUAGGGCUUUGCAUGUACCGUAUGAAUAAGGACCGGCUAAUUCCGUGCCAGCAGCCGCGGUAAUACGGAAGGGACGGGCGUUACCCGGAUUUAUGGGGUUUAAAGGGGGCGUAGGCCGCAUGUCAAGCGUGCUGGUAAAUGUCCGGGCUCAACCCGGGCCUUGAAGCGCGAACUGGCGUGCUGUAGCCCGCGGAAAGCAGGCGGAAUUCGUCGUUUAGCGGUGAAAUGCUUAGAUAUGACGAAGAACCCCGAUUGCGAAGGCAGCUUGCUGCAGCGGAACUGACGCUGAUGCUCGAAAGCGCGGGUAUCGAACAGGAUUAGAUACCCGUGUAGUU